GGCAAACGGGUGAGUAACACGUAAGUAACCUACCCCCAAGUAAGGAAUAACUCUGAGAAAUUGGAGCUAAUACCUUAUGUGUUGAUAGGGUGAUGCUCUAUCAGUAAAGCCUUAGGGCGCUUAGGGAGGGGCUUGCGUCCGAUUAGCUAGUUGGUGGGGUAAUGGCUCACCAAGGCUAUGAUCGGUAGCUGGUUUGAGAGAAUGGUCAGCCACACUGGGACUUAGAUACGGCCCAGACUCCUACGGGAGGCAGCAGCAAGGAAUUUUGUGCAAUGGGCGAAAGCCUGACACAGCGACGCCGCGUGGGGGAUGAAGGCUUUCGGGUUGUAAACCCCUUUUCUCAGGGAAGAAUAAUGACGGUACCUGAGGAAUAAGUCUCGGCUAACUACGUGCCAGCAGCCGCGGUAAUACGUAGGAGGCGAGCGUUAUCCGGAUUUACUGGGCGUAAAGAGGGUGCAGGCGGUUCUUCAAGUCGGAUGUAAAAUCUCCCGGCUUAACCGGGAGGGACCAUUCGAUACUGUUGGGCUAGAGGGCAGCAGAGGGAGGUGGAAUUCCCGGUGUAGUGGUGAAAUGCGUAGAUAUCGGGAGGAA
rnacentral:rRNA from 1 species